GUUGACCUCGGAUCAGGCAGG
rnacentral:rRNA from 1 species